rnacentral:rRNA from 1 species
UGGGGAGUACGGUCGCAAGGUUAAAACUCAAAGGAAUUGACGGGGACCCGCACAAGCGGUGGAUGAUGUGGUUUAAUUGGAUGCAACGCGAAAAACCUUACCUACCCUUGACAUGCCUGGAAUCCCUUAGAGAUGAGGGAGUGCUCGAAAGAGAGAACCAGGACACAGGUGCUGCAUGGCCGUCGUCAGCUCGUGUCGUGAGAUGUUGGGUUAAGUCCCGCAACGAGCGCAACCCUUGUCAUUAGUUGCUACGAAAGGGCACUCUAAUGAGACUGCCGGUGACAAACCGGAGGAAGGUGGGGAUGACGUCAGGUCCUCAUGGCCCUUAUGGGUAGGGCUACACACGUCAUACAAUGGCCGGUACAGAGGGCUGCCAACCCGCGAGGGGGAGCCAAUCCCAGAAAACCGGUCGUAGUCCGGAUCGCAGUCUGCAACUCGACUGCGUGAAGUCGGAAUCGCUAGUAAUCGCGGAUCAGCUUGCCGCGGUGAAUACGUUCCCGGGUCUUGUACACACCGCCCGUCACACCAUGGGAGCGGGUUCUGCCAGAAGUAGUUAGCCUAACCGCAAGGAGGGCGAUACCCCGG